rnacentral:rRNA from 1 species
UACGUAGGGGGCUAGCGUUGUUCGGAAUUACUGGGCGUAAAGCGCGCGUAGGCGGACCUGCAAGUCGGGGGGUGAAAGCCCGAGGCUCAACCUCGGAACUGCCUUCGAUACUGCGGGUCUCGAGUCCGGGAGAGGUGAGUGGAAUUCCUAGUGUAGAGGUGAAAUUCGUAGAUAUUAGGAAGAACACCAGUGGCGAAGGCGGCUCACUGGCCCGGUACUGACGCUGAGGAGCGAAAGCCAGGGGAGCAAAGCGGGG